AUUGAACGCUGGCGGCAGGCUUAACACAUGCAAGUCGAGCGGAGAGAGGUAGCUUGCUACUGAUCUUAGCGGCGGACGGGUGAGUAAUGCUUAGGAAUCUGCCUAUUAGUGGGGGACAACAUUUCGAAAGGAAUGCUAAUACCGCAUACGUCCUACGGGAGAAAGCAGGGGAUCUUCGGACCUUGCGCUAAUAGAUGAGCCGAAGUCGGAUUAGCUAGUUGGUGGGGUAAAGGCCUACCAAGGCGACGAGCUGUAGCGGGUCUGAGAGGAUGAUCCGCCACACUGGGACUGAGACACGGCCCAGACUCCUACGGGAGGCAGCAGUGGGGAAUAUUGGACAAUGGGCGGAAGCCUGAUCCAGCCAUGCCGCGUGUGUGAAGAAGGCCUUAUGGUUGUAAAGCACUUUAAGCGAGGAGGAGGCUACUUUAGUUAAUACCUAGAGAUAGUGGACGUUACUCGCAGAAUAAGCACCGGCUAACUCUGUGCCAGCAGCCGCAGUAAGAC
rnacentral:rRNA from 1 species